UACGUAGGGUGCGAGCGUUGUCCGGAAUUAUUGGGCGUAAAGAGCUCGUAGGCGGUGUGUCACGUCGGCCGUGAAAACCUGCAGCUUAACUGUGGGCGUGCGGUCGAUACGGGCAUCGCUGGAGUUCGGCAGGGGAGACUGGAAUUCCUGGUGUAGCGGUGAAAUGCGCAGAUAUCAGGAGGAACACCGGUGGCGAAGGCGGGUCUCUGGGCAUUAACUGACGUGAGGAGCGAAAGCAUGGGGAGCGAACAGG
rnacentral:rRNA from 1 species